rnacentral:tmRNA from 1 species
GGGGGCGAAAUGGACUCGACGGAGGUAGUGAAGCAGAAGCUGCAGGCCGAGGUCCCAUCAACCUCGUUAAACAGGUGGGAAACAAUUAACUGCAGAACCUGUUGCAGUCGCUGCCUGAUAGAAAGUGCAGCCGUCUCUUGAGGCCUUUCCUGCGGGCCUGAAGAGACGCCGACCAGCAGGAUAGUCUGCCGGGCGUGCUCAGGGCCCGGCGGAUGAAGUACCACUUGGGCUGGUUGAGCGACGCUCUUCCUCUUCGAGAAGCGCUCAACAAGAUUUACUGAAGAGGAUAAGCCUGUAGAGGCUGGCUGUGGAAUGCCUUCGGACGCGGGUUCGAUUCCCGCCGCCUCCACCA